GGAGCUGUGGCUCAGUGGUAGAGCACUCACCUAGCAUGUGCCAGGCACUGGGUCUAAUCCUCAGCACCA
rfam:Ictidomys tridecemlineatus contig054817, whole genome shotgun sequence.